rnacentral:lncRNA from 1 species
AUCUGGGCAAGCCAGGUUAUCCUUAUGGGAGCCGUCGAGGGAUACCGUGUUGCCGGUGGACCCUUGGGUGAUGUGACUGACCCCAUCUACCCCGGAGGCUCGUUCGACCCCUUGGGUUUGGCUGACGACCCCGACACCUUCGCUGAGUUGAAGGUGAAGGAAAUCAAGAACGGACGUCUGGCUAUGUUCUCCAUGUUCGGAUUCUUCGUCCAAGCCAUUGUUACUGGAAAGGGACCC